rnacentral:rRNA from 1 species
CCCUUAGAUGUUCUGGGCCGCACGCGCGCUACACUGACGAAGUCAGCGAGCAUGUCCUACGCCGACAGGUGCGGGGAAUCUUGUCAAACUUCGUCGUGAUGGGGAUUGAUUAUUGAAAUUCUUGAUCAUCAACGAGGAAUUCCUAGUAAGCGCAAGUCAGCAGCUUGCGUUUAUUACGUCCCUGCCCUUUGUACACACCGCCCGUCGCUACUACCGAUUGAAUGGUUUAGUGAGAUCUUCGGAUUGGCGCCACUGCGGCUCAGCAAUGGGCUCGGUGGAUGCCGAAAAGUUGAUCAAACUUGAUCAUUUAGAGGAAGUAAAAGUCGUAACA